UUAAGCGACUAAGCGUACACGGUGGAUGCCCUGGCAGUCAGAGGCGAUGAAGGACGUGCUAAUCUGCGAUAAGCGUCGGUAAGGUGAUAUGAACCGUUAUAACCGGCGAUUUCCGAAUGGGGAAACCCAGUGUGUUUCGACACACUAUCAUUAACUGAAUCCAUAGGUUAAUGAGGCGAACCGGGGGAACUGAAACAUCUAAGUACCCCGAGGAAAAGAAAUCAACCGAGAUUCCCCCAGUAGCGGCGAGCGAACGGGGAGGAGCCCAGAGCCUGAAUCAGUGUGUGUGUUAGUGGAAGCGUCUGGAAAGGCGCGCGAUACAGGGUGACAGCCCCGUACACAAAAAUGCACAUGCUGUGAGCUCGAUGAGUAGGGCGGGACACGUGGUAUCCUGUCUGAAUAUGGGGGGACCAUCCUCCAAGGCUAAAUACUCCUGACUGACCGAUAGUGAACCAGUACCGUGAGGGAAAGGCGAAAAGAACCCCGGCGAGGGGAGUGAAAAAGAACCUGAAACCGUGUACGUACAAGCAGUGGGAGCACAGAGCAAUCUGUGUGACUGCGUACCUUUUGUAUAAUGGGUCAGCGACUUAUAUUCUGUAGCAAGGUUAACCGAAUAGGGGAGCCGAAGGGAAACCGAGUCUUAACUGGGCGUUAAGUUGCAGGGUAUAGACCCGAAACCCGGUGAUCUAGCCAUGGGCAGGUUGAAGGUUGGGUAACACUAACUGGAGGACCGAACCGACUAAUGUUGAAAAAUUAGCGGAUGACUUGUGGCUGGGGGUGAAAGGCCAAUCAAACCGGGAGAUAGCUGGUUCUCCCCGAAAGCUAUUUAGGUAGCGCCUCGUGAAUUCAUCUCCGGGGGUAGAGCACUGUUUCGGCAAGGGGGUCAUCCCGACUUACCAACCCGAUGCAAACUGCGAAUACCGGAGAAUGUUAUCACGGGAGACACACGGCGGGUGCUAACGUCCGUCGUGAAGAGGGAAACAACCCAGACCGCCAGCUAAGGUCCCAAAGUCAUGGUUAAGUGGGAAACGAUGUGGGAAGGCCCAGACAGCCAGGAUGUUGGCUUAGAAGCAGCCAUCAUUUAAAGAAAGCGUAAUAGCUCACUGGUCGAGUCGGCCUGCGCGGAAGAUGUAACGGGGCUAAACCAUGCACCGAAGCUGCGGCAGCGACACUGUGUGUUGUUGGGUAGGGGAGCGUUCUGUAAGCCUGUGAAGGUGUGCUGUGAGGCAUGCUGGAGGUAUCAGAAGUGCGAAUGCUGACAUAAGUAACGAUAAAGCGGGUGAAAAGCCCGCUCGCCGGAAGACCAAGGGUUCCUGUCCAACGUUAAUCGGGGCAGGGUGAGUCGACCCCUAAGGCGAGGCCGAAAGGCGUAGUCGAUGGGAAACAGGUUAAUAUUCCUGUACUUGGUGUUACUGCGAAGGGGGGACGGAGAAGGCUAUGUUGGCCGGGCGACGGUUGUCCCGGUUUAAGCGUGUAGGCUGGUUUUCCAGGCAAAUCCGGAAAAUCAAGGCUGAGGCGUGAUGACGAGGCACUACGGUGCUGAAGCAACAAAUGCCCUGCUUCCAGGAAAAGCCUCUAAGCAUCAGGUAACAUCAAAUCGUACCCCAAACCGACACAGGUGGUCAGGUAGAGAAUACCAAGGCGCUUGAGAGAACUCGGGUGAAGGAACUAGGCAAAAUGGUGCCGUAACUUCGGGAGAAGGCACGCUGAUAUGUAGGUGAAGUCCCUCGCGGAUGGAGCUGAAAUCAGUCGAAGAUACCAGCUGGCUGCAACUGUUUAUUAAAAACACAGCACUGUGCAAACACGAAAGUGGACGUAUACGGUGUGACGCCUGCCCGGUGCCGGAAGGUUAAUUGAUGGGGUCAGCGCAAGCGAAGCUCUUGAUCGAAGCCCCGGUAAACGGCGGCCGUAACUAUAACGGUCCUAAGGUAGCGAAAUUCCUUGUCGGGUAAGUUCCGACCUGCACGAAUGGCGUAAUGAUGGCCAGGCUGUCUCCACCCGAGACUCAGUGAAAUUGAACUCGCUGUGAAGAUGCAGUGUACCCGCGGCAAGACGGAAAGACCCCGUGAACCUUUACUAUAGCUUGACACUGAACAUUGAGCCUUGAUGUGUAGGAUAGGUGGGAGGCUUUGAAGUGUGGACGCCAGUCUGCAUGGAGCCGACCUUGAAAUACCACCCUUUAAUGUUUGAUGUUCUAACGUGGACCCGUGAUCCGGGUUGCGGACAGUGUCUGGUGGGUAGUUUGACUGGGGCGGUCUCCUCCUAAAGAGUAACGGAGGAGCACGAAGGUUGGCUAAUCCUGGUCGGACAUCAGGAGGUUAGUGCAAUGGCAUAAGCCAGCUUGACUGCGAGCGUGACGGCGCGAGCAGGUGCGAAAGCAGGUCAUAGUGAUCCGGUGGUUCUGAAUGGAAGGGCCAUCGCUCAACGGAUAAAAGGUACUCCGGGGAUAACAGGCUGAUACCGCCCAAGAGUUCAUAUCGACGGCGGUGUUUGGCACCUCGAUGUCGGCUCAUCACAUCCUGGGGCUGAAGUAGGUCCCAAGGGUAUGGCUGUUCGCCAUUUAAAGUGGUACGCGAGCUGGGUUUAGAACGUCGUGAGACAGUUCGGUCCCUAUCUGCCGUGGGCGCUGGAGAACUGAGGGGGGCUGGCUCCUAGUACGAGAGGACCGGAGUGGACGCAUCACUGGUGUUCGGGUUGUCAUGCCAAUGGCACUGCCCGGUAGCUAAAUGCGGAAGAGAUAAGUGCUGAAAGCAUCUAAGCACGAAACUUGCCCCGAGAUGAGUUCUCCCUGACCCUUUAAGGGUCCUGAAGGAACGUUGAAGACGACGACGUUGAUAGGCCGGGUGUGUAAGCGCAGCGAUGCGUUGAGCUAACCGGUACUAAUGAACCGUGAGGCUUAACCUU
rnacentral:rRNA from 1 species